UGGGGAAUAUUGCACGAAUGGGGGAAACCCGUGAUGCAGCGACGCCGCGNGAGCGAAGAAGUAUUUCGGUAUGUAAAGCUCUAUCAGCAGGGAAGAAAAAAAUGACGGUACCUGAGUAAGAAGCACCGGCUAAAUACGUGCC
rnacentral:rRNA from 1 species